rnacentral:rRNA from 1 species
AACGGCGAGUGAAGCGGCAACAGCUCAAAUUUGAAAUCUGGCCCGUCCCGGGUCCGAGUUGUAAUUUGUAGAGGGUGUUUCGGGCAAGGCGGCGGUCUAGGUCCCUUGGAACAGGGCGCCACAGAGGGUGAGAGUCCCGUCUUCGACCGCCAGCCGCGUCCAUGUGAAACCCCUUCGACGAGUCGCGUUGUUUGGGAAUGCAGCGCAAAAUGGGUGGUAAAUUUCAUCUAAAGCUAAAUAUUGGCCAGAGACCGAUAGCGCACAAGUAGAGUGAUCGAAAGAUGAAAAGCACUUUGAAAAGAGAGUUAAACAGCAUGUGAAAUUGUUGAAAGGGAAGCGCUUGCAGCCAGACUUGUGGACGGUUAUUCAGCCGUUCUCCUUGAACGGUGCAUUUCUCCGUCUCCAGGCCAGCAUCGGUUUCGGCAGCCAGUGAAAGGCUCCGGGAAUGUAUCGACCUUCCGGGGUUGACUUAUAGCCCGGGGUGCCAUGUGGCUCGCCGGGACCGAGGUACGCGCUCUGCACGGAUGCUGGCGUAAUGGCUGUAAGCGACCCGUCUUGAAACACGGACCAAGGAGUCUAACAUCUAUGCGAGUGUUCGGGUGUCAAACCCUUGCGCGUAAUGAAAGUGAACGGAGGUAGGAGCCUUUUGGGGCGCACUAUCGACCGAUCCUGAUGUUCUCGGAUGGAUUUGAGUAAGAGCAUAGCUGUUGGGACCCGAAAGAUGGUGAACUAUGCGUGUAUAGGGUGAAGCCAGAGGAAACUCUGGUGGAGGCUCGCAGCGGUUCUGACGUGCAAAUCGAUCGUCAAAUACGCGUAUAGGGGCGAAAGACUAAU